CAGUAGCCGCGGUAAUACGGAGGAUCAAAGCGUUAUCCGGAAUCAUUGGGUUUAAAGGGUCCGUAGGCGGUCUUGUAAGUCAGUGGUGAAAGCCCAUCGCUCAACGGUGGAACGGCCAUUGAUACUGCAGGACUUGAAUUAUUGGGAAGUAACUAGAAUAUGUAGUGUAGCGGUGAAAUGCUUAGAGAUUACAUGGAAUACCAAUUGCGAAGGCAGGUUACUACCAAUUGAUUGACGCUGAUGGACGAAAGCGUGGGUAGCGAACAGGAUUAGAGACCCCUGUAGUCCCUGUCUCUUAUAC
rnacentral:rRNA from 1 species